UGUCAUCAGCUUUCAGACAAAAUCAUAUGUACGAAAGUUUAAUUAAUUGGACUCAAUUACAGUGUCAGAUAUAAAUAUGUAUACUACAGAUAAAGGAAAAACUCAGUUGGGUGUUUACUGAUUUUGAAGUUCUAUCACAUUUCCCUCCUUUAAAUUAUACUCAUGAUCAACUAGCAAUAAUGGAUUCUAAAAACUCUCUGGACUAAUCUCAAGGGUAGAAUCAUAAAUCUACUAUAAGUCAUUAAAAUAUACUAUAUAGAAAGAGAACACUAAGUUUGAUGUUUAUUGGAAUUUAAUUUGUCACACGUGGGUCUAUCCUAACUGAGGCUCGUGAUUGACCAAUAAUUAUGAUUUCUAAAACCUCUUUUAACUAAUCACAAGGGUAAAAUCAUAAAUCUAGUAAAAUUCAUCUCACCAUUUAAUGAAUAAAAUUAUUUUUCACGAUCGAAAUAGUUAUGGAUCGAAGUAGUUAUGCACCUCCACUUUCAUAUUUUGUCAAGCUUCUCAGUGAAAAUCCCCAAACAUAUACAAACCAAUUGUUCUAUACUUGAUUUUCUGAGUGGUGGGGGGUCAAGCUUCUCAUUGAAAGGGCAGCAUAGGAAGGAACCUUUUUUUUGUAGUUGAUUUUGCCUCAUAGAUCCUUUAAAUUUUUUCAUAUUAUUUGGAAACAAAAAGGAAUAGAAAUGAUCAUUAAUCUUUUCUUUAAGUGCCUCGGGGUGCGCAAAUAGGUGUGGGCACUACCAUAAGUAGGUACAAAUUUUAACAAGAAACUUCACUUUCUAUGCCGGAAGCUCUCUCUAUAUUUUUAUCCAAAAAGUUACCACAAGACCUUGGCCCCCUCCAAGGACUGCAUGCAAUGUUCUAUGGCCAUUAGCCAGUCCUGAUAAAAGUACAGGAUUGUCAAUAGAAUCAGAUGAAUUCGAUUUAAAGUAAUGAUAUAUAAACAAAAAAAAUAAAAAAAUAAUUGUAUAGAAUAAAGCGGGUUUUAUUAUGUCAAAUCAAAACACCUAUCAAUAUACUCUAGUAUUUUAAAAAUGCCUAACCAAUACCAUUAUGUCACUCAUUUUAAUAUAAUAAAAUUGGCCAAUGGAUAUGAAUCAAGUGUGUUUUUAUAUUUUAAAAGUCAAAAAUUUAGAAAAUUACUCGAAAACUUUAGAGCUCUCAUGGCCUUCAGACGAAAAGACUCUUUUGUAUAAUAAGUAGUAUAUAUAAAUUUUAAAAAUAUUAAUGUCACAUCAUUCUUUCAUUGUUAUUGAUUUUUUAUAUAAAAAUUGUGAAAGAAUAUCAUUUUCUUUCAUUUUAAUGGCAAUUUUGAAACUUGAAAAUACCUUUGUUCUUGCUCUUAGAUGUUGUUCCAGAAGAAGCAUGUGGGUUCAGGCUUGUUUGGGUGCUAGGAAACCUAGAGGAAGGUUUGGCUUUUAUAAGGAUGCAGUUUCCCAUGCCCAAAUUAGCUCAAUAAAACAAUACCAAUCUUCAUUUUCUCUUUAUUAUAUAGGAUCGGAGAGAUGAAAUGAUUGGAUUUAAUAUUGUUAUAUUUCAAUUUGCUCAGUAAGUCAUUAAAAUAUCAUAAAUCUUCAUUAUUUUGUUGAAGAGAAUUUCUGAAACUAUUGGGUAAUGAUCAAGAAAAAUAAAGGGAGAAUUAUAAUCAGAACAAAACAGGAAAAAAUAUUAGGAUAAUUUACCUAUACCCUGAGGCUCAUAUGGCACUGACCUCCCCAUGGUUUUGAAAAAUGGCACUGACCUCCCCUGUCAGAGACCAAAAUGGCCAUUAUACCCCUGACCCCCCACCCAACCCACCCAACCCCCUGCCCGAUUUUUUUUAGAUUUUUUUUAGUUUUUUCUUUUAUCAUUUUAUUUAUUUUUUUAAUCUAAUUUAUUUAUUUUGAUUACUUUUUUUUGGAUAAUAAUUUUUUUUUUUAUUACAUGUUUGUGUUUUUUUAGUUUUUUUAUAGUAAUUAUUUUUAAUAAAAAUAAAUAAAAAUAAAAAUUUAGCAUUUCGCAUCUAAUGUACUGACGUUGAUACACUGAUUGCAUAUUUAUUUUGAAAAUUAAGAUCUAAUGGCCAAGGUCUAGCAUAUCAUUGGGCAUUAUCAAAGUCGUUGAUGAAACGAUAAAAAAAAUAAAAAAACUCAUAUUAAAAUUUUAAAAACUAGUCAAAUGGGCCUUUAAUUAAUGCGUUUAAGACAUUUAUAAUUCAUACAACAACUAAAAAGUUUGUGAGAAUUUUUUAAUAUAAUGUUCAGCUAUUGUGAAACUUAAAUUGUGAUUCUCUUUUUAUUUAUUUUAUUUUAUUUUUAUUAAAAAUUAUAAUAAAAAAACUAAAAAACAAACAAAAGAUAUAAUAAAAAAUUAUGUAUCAAAAAAAAACUGAUCACAAAUAAAUAAAUUAGAUUAAAAAUAAAUAAAAAUGAUUAAAGAAAAAUUAAAAACAACCUAAAAAAAAUCGCGGGGCGGGUGUGGGUGGGUAUGGGGGGUGGAAGUCGAGAGGUAUAAGGUCAUU
rnacentral:lncRNA from 1 species